rnacentral:rRNA from 1 species
ACGGGUGAGUAACACGUGAGCAACCUGCCUAUCAGAGGGGGAUAACGAUUGGAAACGAUCGCUAAUACCGCAUGACAUAGCGGAACCGCAUGGCUCUGUUAUCAAAGAUUUUAUCGCUGAUAGAUGGGCUCGCGUCCGAUUAGAUAGUUGGUGGGGUAACGGCCUACCAAGUCGACGAUCGGUAGCCGGACUGAGAGGUCGAACGGCCACAUUGGGACUGAGACACGGCCCAGACUCCUACGGGAGGCAGCAGUGGGGGAUAUUGCACAAUGGGGGAAACCCUGAUGCAGCGACGCCGCGUGAGGGAAGACGGUCCUCUGGAUUGUAAACCUCUGUCUUCGGGGACGAAACGAGACGGUACCCGAGGAGGAAGCCACGGCUAACUACGUGCCAGCAGCCGCGGUAAUACGUAGGUGGCAAGCGUUGUCCGGAAUUACUGGGUGUAAAGGGAGCGUAGGCGGGCAGGCAAGUCAGGCGUGAAAUAUAUCGGCUCAACCGGUAACGGCGCUUGAAACUGCAGGUCUUGAGUGAAGUAGAGGUUGGCGGAAUUCCUAGUGUAGCGGUGAAAUGCGUAGAUAUUAGGAGGAACACCAGUGGCGAAGG